rnacentral:rRNA from 1 species
CACGUAGGGAGCAAGCGUUGUCCGGAUUUAUUGGGCGUAAAGAGCUCGUAGGCGGUUCCGUAAGUCAGGUGUGAAACCUCCAGGCUCAACCUGGAGACGCCACCUGAUACUGCGGUGACUGGAGUCCGGUAGGGGAGCGUGGAAUUCCUGGUGUAGUGGUGAAAUGCGUAGAGAUCCGGAGGAACACCAGUGGCGAAGGCGACACGCUGGGCCGUACCUGACACUGAACCGCGACAGCAUGGGGAGCAAACAGG